rnacentral:rRNA from 1 species
GGGUUUCCGCCCUUCAGUGCCGCAGCUAACGCAUUAAGCACUCCGCCUGGGGAGUACGACCGCAAGGUUGAAACUCAAAGGAAUUGACGGGGGCCCGCACAAGCGGUGGAGCAUGUGGUUUAAUUCGAAGCUACGCGAAGAACCUUACCAGGUCUUGACAUCUUGCGCCAACCCUAGAGAUAGGGCGUUUCCUUCGGGAACGCAAUGACAGGUGGUGCAUGGUCGUCGUCAGCUCGUGUCGUGAGAUGUUGGGUUAAGUCCCGCAACGAGCGCAACCCUUGUUACUAGUUGCCAGCAUUCAGUUGGGCACUCUAGUGAGACUGCCGGUGACAAACCGGAGGAAGGUGGGGACGACGUCAGAUCAUCAUGCCCCUUAUGACCUGGGCUACACACGUGCUACAAUGGACGGUACAACGAGUCGCGAACUCGCGAGGGCAAGCUAAUCUCUUAAAACCGUUCUCAGUUCGGACUGCAGGCUGCAACUCGCCUGCACGAAGUCGGAAUCGCUAGUAAUCGCGGAUCAGCAUGCCGCGGUGAAUACGUUCCCGGGCCUUGUACACACCGCCCGUCACACCAUGAGAGUUUGCAACACCCAAAGUCGGUGGGGUAACCC